rnacentral:rRNA from 2 species
AAAAUCGUAACAAGGUCUCCGUAGGUGAACCUGCGGAGGGAUCAUUA